ACACGCGCUCUCUCUCUCUCUCUCUCUCUUCGCCCCAUUUAUGUUUGCAUUGCGCUGUGAAACUUGCCUCUCACUCACUCUCUCUCUCUCUCUCUCUCUCUCUCUCUUCGCCCCAUUUUGGUUCCGUGCGGUUCCUGUUUUCCUGCCGCCUUAUGAUCAACCCUCAGAUGAGAUGAAUCUCCCCCGAAACCCCAACUUCAGAUUUUCUCAGUUUCUAUUCCAAAUUAGUCUCUCUUCCGCAUAUACGCUGAGGUUUCGUGAAUCGAUCUCCACUCGUUCGCAGAUAGAUAUCGCUCUCUCCUGAAACCUAACUCCAGAUUUUCUUAAUUUCUAUCUUGAUUUUUCUUAUCCAGUAAUGAAUUUAUUCCCUCUUCUGCAUAUAACUCGAGGAAUCGCGAAUCAAUCUCCACUCCUUCGCAGAUAUCCAUCCAUCUCUUGAGUAUGCUUUCCGCUGAAUCCAAAAGAUUUCAAGUAUUGACCUCUUGAAUUUACUCGAAGCUUUCUUUAGACUCCACGCUGCUGAGGUAUUUGCCAGUUUUAUUCUUGAUUCAAAUAUGUAAUUAUUGUUGUAUGUGCAGUCUAUAAUUCAUUGAUGUUGUUUUGUUGUAAUUUUUAAUGAACAAUUAAUCAUUUGAGAUGAUACUUUACGAGUCACGAGUGCCUAUAGGUCCUCCUUAUGCACAUGGCGGAUUUUAUUCCUCCUUUUGUUCUUUACUCUUCUCUCUGCUUGAUUAUGAUUUUUAUUUAUUUAUUUAUUUUUUGGUGUGCUUAUAACAUGACUUGUUAGUUAAGAUGCAAAUAAUUGUUUGACUAGCUAUUUAGGCUUUCAGAUUUGUGCAAAAUAUAACUAGCAGGUGCAGCAGUUGCCACUGUUGGAGAGAGGUGAAAUGGUUUAGGAGGGUAAGUCUGCAAAAGGCUCUCAAGGUUCUUACAAGUGAUUGUUCUUUUAACUGUGUUUUGAAUUUUAAAACACUUAACUCCAUUUUAAUUAUUUACUAUUUUGACCUUGUGUGUUAUAUAUAUAUUUAAAGGAUCUUCAUGAGAUAUUUGAGUUGGGAUUGAAACCUAAAUCUCCAUGUCAUUUAUCACCAUUUUUUUGAAAGAAUUUUUUCUUUUUUUAGUAUUUUUGUACUUAUUUUUAAGGAUCAUAAAAAAAAAAAAAAAAAACUCUCCAAGCCCCUGCAUUAUUUUCUCUCUCACUCCUAAUCAGCUACUUCCAAGAAUGCAAGUUUUAUGCCCCCAAGGUGUGGUUCAGAUGGCAAGGUCACUUCCUAGGAGUGCCGCUUGACGGUCAGCUGAUGAAGCCUCCCGGGUUCGAUUCUUCCCCUGGGCUCCUGCAUUUACCCUCCUUGUGGUAUUUUGGAGCCAGAUCCACAGGGCGUGGGAUUAGUCACGGAGCAUAAAAACGCACGUGGACACCCGGCGAUAUUUAAAAAAAAAAGAAAAAAAAAAGAAUGCAAGUUUUAUGGGUAAGAUUGUUACAAUUUUUUACCAGUGUAUAUGAUUAUUUUAAUUUGCCAUUUGGUGCUUUAAAAUUUUCUAUGAUUUUGAUUUCUAAUAUUAGUUUUUAUUGUCGUAUUUUUCUGCGCA